CCAUGAUUUGGAUAGAUAAUUUGGAUGUGGUCCAAGCCUUGACUAAUAAUGAAUUGGAAGGUUCAGGUAUCAUUGUGCUUAGAAGGGUCCAGCGGAUUAGGUAUAUAACUAUAGACAGAGGCAGAUACAGAGAGAUUGGCAGGGGCCCUGGCCCCCCUUAAAAUGGAAAAUUUCUAUUUAUGUCAUUGAAUUUUUUUAAAAAUUUUAAAUUAAUAAAGGUAAAAUUGUACUUU
rnacentral:lncRNA from 1 species